CAGCCGCCGCGGGAAUACGGAGGGAGCUAGCGUUGUUCGGAAUUACUGGGCGUAAAGCGCACGUAGGCGGCUUUGUAAGUCAGAGGUGAAAGCCUGGAGCUCAACUCCAGAACUGCCUUUGAGACUGCAUCGCUUGAAUCCAGGAGAGGUGAGUGGAAUUCCGAGUGUAGAGGUGAGAUUCGUAGAUAUUCGGAAGAACACCAGUGGCGAAGGCGGCUCACUGGACUGGUAUUGACGCUGAGGUGCGAAAGCGUGGGGAGCAAACAGGAUUAGAUACCCAGUAGUCCCUGUCUCUUUACAC
rnacentral:rRNA from 1 species